GAUGAACGCUGGCGGCGUGCUUAACACAUGCAAGUCGAACGGGACAAGUAGCAAUAUUUGUCUAGUGGCGAACGGGUGCGUAACACGUGGGCAACAUGCCUGGAAGAGCGGGAUAGCCCGGGGAAACUCGGAUUAAUACCGCAUGUGACAACGGGGCAAAUUCGCCCUGUUUUCAAAGGUGGGGACCGCAAGGCCUGCCGCUUCCAGAUUGGCCCGCGUCCUAUCAGCUAGUUGGCGGGGUAACGGCCCACCAAGGCGACGACGGGUAGCUGGUCUGAGAGGACGACCAGCCACACUGGAACUGAGACACGGUCCAGACACCUACGGGUGGCAGCAGACGAGAAUCUUUCACAAUGGGGGAAACCCUGAUGGAGCGACGCCGCGUGGAGGAUGACGGUCUUCGGAUUGUAAACUCCUGUCAUGAAAGAACAAGCGGAGCGGGUGAAUAGCCCGCCGAGUUGAUAGUAUUUCAAGAGGAAGGGACGGCUAACUUCGUGCCAGCCGCCGCCGUAA
rnacentral:rRNA from 1 species